rnacentral:rRNA from 1 species
AUUGAACGCUGGCGGCAGGCCUAACACAUGCAAGUCGAGCGGAUGAGAAGAGCUUGCUCUUCGAGUUAGCGGCGGACGGGUGAGUAAUGCCUAGGAAUCUGCCUGGUAGUGGGGGACAACGUUUCGAAAGGAACGCUAAUACCGCAUACGUCCUACGGGAGAAAGCAGGGGACCUUCGGGCCUUACGCUAUCAGAUGAGCCUAGGUCGGAUUAGCUAGUUGGUGAGGUAAUGGCUCACCAAGGCGACGAUCCGUAACUGGUCUGAGAGGAUGAUCAGUCACACUGGAACUGAGACACGGUCCAGACUCCUACGGGAGGCAGCAGUGGGGAAUAUUGGACAAUGGGCGAAAGCCUGAUCCAGCCAUGCCGCGUGUGUGAAGAAGGUCUUCGGAUUGUAAAGCACUUUAAGUUGGGAGGAAGGGCAGUAAGCGAAUACCUUGCUGUUUUGACGUUACCAACAGAAUAAGCACCGGCUAACUCUGUGCCAGCCGCCGCUGUAAAAC